AUGGGUUUUGGGUAAAAAGUAAAAAAUAGGAACUGUAGUGUUAUGUUGUAAUAUGUAUUUAAAAUUAGGUUGAGAAAAUACGUUUUCUAUUUUAGCUUGUUUCAAUAGUUGUUCUAAUUAGUUGUUCUAAUAUUUUUGUGGGGUCUCCUUUUAAAGUAUUUUAUAUGUUUUGGUAUCCCCUAAGAUGUUUUGUGCUUCCUGAAGCUAGUAUUCAG